GUUAUAUGGUCAAGUGACUAAGUGCAUACGGUGGAUGCCUUGGCGGCAGAAGGCGAUGAAGGACGUGGAAGUCUGCGAUAAGCUCGGGUAAGCUGACAAACAAGCGUAAUAGCCCGAGAUUUCCGAAUGGGGGAACCCAGUCAUCAUAAGAUGAUUAUCUGCAACUGAAUACAUAGGUUGUAGAGGCGAACGCGGGGAACUGAAACAUCUAAGUACCCGUAGGAAAAGAAAUCAACCGAGAUCCCCUGAGUAGCGGCGAGCGAAAGGGGGUUAGCCCAAAAGUUUAUUAUGCGUUAGUGGAAUGUUCUGGAAAGUUCAACGAUACAGGGUGAUAGUCCCGUACACGAAAACGCAUAAUGAAUGAAUCUGAGUAGGUCGGGACACGUGAUAUCCUGAUUGAAAAUGGGGGGACCAUCCUCCAAGGCUAAAUACUCUCUGCCGACCGAUAGUGAACCAGUACCGUGAGGGAAAGGCGAAAAGAACCCCUGUGAGGGGAGUGAAAUAGAACCUGAAACUGUAUGCAUACAAGCAGUGGGAGCAUGAUUUAGUCAUGUGACUGCGUACCUUUUGUAUAAUGGGUCAGCGACUUACUUGUCUGUGGCAAGGCUAACCGUUUAGGGGAGCCGUAGCGAAAGCGAGUCUUAAUAGGGCGACUUAGUCUCAGGCAGUAGACCCGAAACCGGGCGAUCUAGCCAUGGCCAGGUUGAAGGUUGGGUAACACCAACUGGAGGACCGAACCCACGUAUGUUGAAAAAUGCGGGGAUGAGCUGUGGCUCGGAGUGAAAGGCUAAUCAAGCCCGGAGAUAGCUGGUUCUCCUCGAAAACUAUUUAGGUAGUGCCUCAUGUAUCACCGCUGGGGGUAGAGCACUGUUUCGGCUAGGGGGUCAUCCCGACUUACCAACCCGAUGCAAACUCCGAAUACCAGUGAGUGCAAUCAUGGGAGACACACGGCGGGUGCUAACGUCCGUCGUGGAAAGGGAAACAACCCAGACCGCCAGCUAAGGUCCCUAAGUUAUGGUUAAGUGGGAAACGAUGUGGGAAGGCCUAGACAGCUAGGAGGUUGGCUUAGAAGCAGCCACCCUUUAAAGAAAGCGUAAUAGCUCACUAGUCGAGUCGGCCUGCGCGGAAGAUGUACCGGGGCUAAAACCAUACACCGAAGCUGCGGAUGCGUGUUUACACGCAUGGUAGAGGAGCGUUCUGUAAGCCGUCGAAGGUAAACCGGGAGGUUUGCUGGAGGUAUCAGAAGUGCGAAUGCUGACAUGAGUAACGAUAAGGGGUGUGAAAACCACCCCCGCCGAAAACCCAAGGUUUCCUGUUCGAUGCUAAUCAGAGCAGGGUGAGUCGGCCCCUAAGGCGAGGCAGAAAUGCGUAGUCGAUGGGAAACAGGUUAAUAUUCCUGUACCUGAUAUUGCUGCGAUGGAGUGACGGAGAAGGCUAGGCCAGCCUGGUGAUGGUUAUCCAGGUUUAAGGUAGUAGGCUGAGGACUUAGGUAAAUCCGGGUCCUUAAGGCUGAGAGCUGAUGACGACGAACUAAGGUUCGGAAGUGGUUGAUGCCCGGCUUCCAGGAAAAACUUCUAAGCUUCAGGCAAUAUGAGACCGUACCCCAAACCGACACAGGUGGGUAGGUAGAGAAUACCAAGGCGCUUGAGAGAACUCGGGUGAAGGAACUAGGCAAAAUGGUACCGUAACUUCGGGAGAAGGUACGCCGCUGACGGUGAAGCAUUUACUGCGUAAGCUGUUGGCGGUCUAAGAAACCAGAUGGCUGCGACUGUUUAUUAAAAACAUAGCACUCUGCAAACACGAAAGUGGACGUAUAGGGUGUGACGCCUGCCCGGUGCCGGAAGGUUAAUUGAUGGGGUUAUCUUCGGAGAAGCUCUUGAUCGAAGCCCCGGUAAACGGCGGCCGUAACUAUAACGGUCCUAAGGUAGCGAAAUUCCUUGUCGGGUAAGUUCCGACCUGCACGAAUGGCGUAACGAUGGCCAUACUGUCUCCACCCGAGACUCAGUGAAAUUGAAAUUGCGGUGAAGAUGCCGUAUACCCGCGGCUAGACGGAAAGACCCCGUGAACCUUUACUAUAGCUUCACACUGGACUUAGAACCUGCUUGUGUAGGAUAGCUGGGAGGCUUUGAAACUUAGACGCCAGUCUAGGUGGAGCCAACCUUGAAAUACCAGCCUGGUAUGUUUUGAGUUCUAACUCAGUCCCAUUAUCUGGGACGAGGACAGUGUGUGGUGGGUAGUUUGACUGGGGCGGUCUCCUCCCAAAGAGUAACGGAGGAGUACGAAGGUACCCUAAUCCUGGUCGGAAAUCAGGAGUUUAGUACAAUGGUAUAAGGGUGCUUGACUGCGAGACAGACACGUCGAGCAGGUGCGAAAGCAGGUCAUAGUGAUCCGGUGGUUCUGUAUGGAAGGGCCAUCGCUCAACGGAUAAAAGGUACUCCGGGGAUAACAGGCUGAUACCGCCCAAGAGUUCAUAUCGACGGCGGUGUUUGGCACCUCGAUGUCGGCUCAUCACAUCCUGGGGCUGUAGCCGGUCCCAAGGGUAUGGCUGUUCGCCAUUUAAAGUGGUACGCGAGCUGGGUUUAGAACGUCGUGAGACAGUUCGGUCCCUAUCUGCCGUGGGCGUUGGAAAUUUGAGGAGAGCUGCUUCUAGUACGAGAGGACCGAAGUGGACGAACCUCUGGUGUUCGGGUUGUGAUGCCAAUCGCAUUGCCCGGUAGCUACGUUCGGACAGGAUAACCGCUGAAAGCAUCUAAGCGGGAAGCCCCCUCCAAGAUAAGAUUUCCCUAGAGCUUUAAGCUCUCAUAAGGAACGUUGAAGACUACGACGUUGAUAGGCAAGGUGUGUAAGUGCUGUGAGGCAUUGAGCUAACUUGUACUAAUGGUCCGAGAGGCUUGACCAUAUAACACCCAAGCGGUCU
rnacentral:rRNA from 1 species